UUGCUUUGCAGCUGUGUCCUGAGAAGGGAGGACGGUCAACUCAAGCUCCUGUAAAUUUGGGGGCUCGUCCGGGAUGAGAGGUUUUCCUUCAAAGGCGAAUUUGAUCCAAAGCGCUUACACCUGCUGAACGCGACGUACUCCCAAGUCGGCCUCAAAACAAGUUCCAGUGAAUCUUAUUGGAAGGGAUCUUCUUAAGACGGGGGCUUCGAUCUUGUGCAGCCCAGACGGACUAAGCGUCACCAUGAUGGAUGGAACGGUUCUGCAUUGCAAUGACAAUGGACAAACGAAAGGUCAGUGGGUGGUGCAGCCACUGCAGCAACAACAACAAUAUGCAGACAUUUAUUGAGGCCUCUUGAAGCCUGAGUGUCCUGAAGGGGUUAUGACUCUUUACCAAAAGUGGAAGCCUUGGAUAACUCUUCUUGAUCCGUAUGUUCCUCCUCCAGAUCCUCCUCCUGUAGCAUUGUUUUAUGAUAGACAAGGGGAUGAGUGCUAUUGUGACGAAUUCCUGGAAUAUUUAGAAAACACUGAAUGGGAGGUGACGUCCCAAAAUCUCUAUGUGGGCCCAGAAAGGGUAGCCCCAGCUGUCAUCCUCUCCUCCGAUCAAUCAAAAUGGUAUUUAAUGAAUCAAGAUGCAGUGCCGCAUGUGUCGUUGGCUUUGCAUCCCAAACAUCAGGCUAAAGACCUAGGUCUAAUGACGAAACAGGCGAUGCUGCUAGACGACUGGGAAUGCACUCAACUGCCUGAUGUUUGUUUUUCUCCCUCCGCUAAAAUGUACAGGAUUACAGGGAAAGCAACUAACUCUGUUAUUGUAACACA